GGAUGUGAGGGCGAUCUGGCUGCGACAUCUGUCACCCCAUUGAUCGCCAGGGUUGAUUCAGCUGAUCUGGCUGGCUAGGCGGGGGUCCCCUUCCUCCCUCACUGCUCCACGUGUGUCCCUCUAGAAGCUCACUCAGUCGAAGAGACAACCUUCCCCGAUAGAGGAGGAGCCUUCUUCGGUCAAGGGUAUAUGAGUAGCUGCGCUCCCCUGCUAGAACCUCCAAACAAGCUCUCAAAAAUGGGUAGUUUUCUGUUACAUCUACUUGUAGCAGGCUUCAAAUGUAGUUUUACUUUUU
rnacentral:snRNA from 1 species